CACCUCCUAAACACAAUUCAGGGCCACAGACAGCCCUGGUUUGAUGAAAGGGGAGAGUCCACACAGAUCUUCUCAAGCCUGGCCAGAUGGGGCCUCCUGGACCUGAUCCCUCCAGAAUUGAGCAUCUGCUGUGGCCAGCUGGUACCGGGGACGGAACCUGGGACCUUCUAUGGCUGCCAGUGAGCUACAAUCCUAGCCUAUUGUGAAAACACUUCACCCAGUCCCGAGGGCCUGCAAGUCCUCUCCACCACCACUUCCACUACUACCACCUACCAAGUGCUGGGAGUAGAACCCAGGGCCUCUUACAUAUGGGGCCGAUGUUCUACCAUGGACCACACUCCAGCUCACCACUACCUUUAAAACCUCCAACCUGUUCCUCCCAAGACCUUUCCUGGACACUCUGAAGCUAUAGAUGUAGGCUUUUAUCCGAGUCUUCUGGGCACUGUUAGUAUCCUUUAAACCUUUGUGAUUAA